rnacentral:rRNA from 1 species
ACGGGUGAGUAACGCGUGGGAAUCUACCCAACUCUACGGAAUAACUCAGGGAAACUUGUGCUAAUACCGUAUACGCCCUUCGGGGGAAAGAUUUAUCGGAGUUGGAUGAGCCCGCGUUGGAUUAGCUAGUUGGUGGGGUAAAGGCCUACCAAGGCGACGAUCCAUAGCUGGUCUGAGAGGAUGAUCAGCCACAUUGGGACUGAGACACGGCCCAAACUCCUACGGGAGGCAGCAGUGGGGAAUAUUGGACAAUGGGCGCAAGCCUGAUCCAGCCAUGCCGCGUGUGUGAUGAAGGCCUUAGGGUUGUAAAGCACUUUCACCGGAGAAGAUAAUGACGGUAUCCGGAGAAGAAGCCCCGGCUAACUUCGUGCCAGCAGCCGCGGUAAUACGUAGGGGGCAAGCGUUGUCCGGAAUUAUUGGGCGUAAAGCGCGCGCAGGCGGUCAUUUAAGUCUGGUGUUUAAUCCCGGGGCUCAACCCCGGAUCGCACUGGAAACUGGGUGACUUGAGUGCAGAAGAGGAGAGUGGAAUUCCACGUGUAGCGGUGAAAUGCGUAGA